AUGUCUCUUGAGUUGAUUUCUCCUAACUAAAACCUUGUGUACUUUGAGCGACAUUCCCAGGCUGAUUUUCCCACUGUGAGUGCCCUGGUGUCCCGUCUGCUCAGCUCAGGUAGUUUCUACUCCUCCCUCGCCCCUCUGUCCCCUGUCCUUCACGAGUGACCGUGUCUCCCCAUGCUGUGCCUCCCUCCCACCCUC